UUAGUUUUAGCUGCUUAAUAUAUGCUUGCAAAUUGCAAAAAAUUAUAAGGAUGUUUCUAUUUCAAAAGGUACACCUUUUUUAAUGAAACAAAAAGGAUUCUUAUCAAGAAUAUAUUAGCAAUUAAUGAUGACCUAGUGUAGCAAAGUAUUGUCAUUAUCGUGGUCUGGCUUGUAAAGAGGAAAUCAUAUCCAAAACUCAGCAACAUAAUGGCUAGUUGUGGAUCCUUAAGUACUUAAAAACCAUUAAAAUGCAUCAUUUCAUAUUUUCAUAUGAACUCAUUGGUGAUGUUCCUCAUAUUUGCACAAAUGCAGUUUCCUGUUCUCGGCUGGAUUGUUGUACGAGGUUAACAAGAUUUCUGGGUCUGCUGUCUCAACAAGCGACAUCAAGACUAAAAAGCAAAGUGGAAGAGCUUUUAAGCAUAUAUGGGCUUGUUUAAUUCAUCAAAUAAUGCAACCAUAAUGAGGGAUUUAAACUUCUGAGGGAUCCAACUUCAUAUAUAUCGAAUGGUUCUGGAUUUUGUUCCC